AAUGUCUUCGGAUGGCACCAACUGUUGCCACUGCGCUAGCCGCGAUGGUGAUGUGUGCUCACCCUUAUGCGCAGAUAUAUUAGGUCAUCGUGAAAGUUAUGUUGCGUUUUUAAUUCAGAACCCAAGAACACAUAUCAAAAUGCGAGUUUUAAAGGGGAAGCUUUACUUCAAAGGAGCUGUGAAGAAUGAGAUGCUCUUCUUUAGAUGUAUUUUAUAUAUUUUCCACUGCAACGGCUCAAAUUAAAAAAGUAUUGGCAUCAUAUUGGGUGGUGACUUCUUUAUACUAUUUAGAUCCAUUUUAUGAUCUUUUCCAUUUUUCAGUUUGCCUCAUUCCGACAUUGUUGUGUUAGUUGUUUUUAAAGAAUGCAAUUAUCGUAUGAGCUUUAGUUUUAUUCCUUUAUGAAUCCUAAUUAUUCCAAAGAAGUUAUGAUAUUAAAAAAAUGAGUUUUUUUCUCAAUUUUUUUCUGUCUGUUUUUUCUGAUUUAUGAAAAUAUCUCUUUACAAACAAUCCAGCUACGAAAUUGGAAUAAAAAAAAGAAACACACAAUUUUUCCUGCCCACAAACGGAAAGAUGACAUUGCUCUCCGGAUAACCUAAUAUUUAUGUGCAUUCGCUGAAGCCCGCGCGUACUUUAAAUACCCGCUAACGUCGGAAAACGUUAUUAAACGCGCAAUCGUCAGUGUCGUCUCGUGGUUGCAGCAAGCGCGUGCCAGUUCGCGAAUCGCGAAAUCCGUUGUAUAGCACAUACGUUAACAGCAAAAAAAAAAGAAAAAACACAAAAAGAAACACAAACCGAGUGCGUCUCUUUAAACCAAUCUUUACACCCGUGCGUUAUUUCCGUCGAGAGAAACACAGUGACAAACACGCAAAAGAAGAAAUUUUUAUUCGCAAAAGCGAAAUUAAAACCCAAUCGGUUCGCUCAUCGGAGUGCUAAUUAGUGCCUUUUCGGAUUUUAUUUGUUGCGAGCUGGAGUUAAGAUUGCGUUACGUGUGCGAGAUCAUUUCCCUCCCCCCGGGCUAAGGUUCCCAUCACGAUCACGAUCAAGUUGCGGUAAACCAGGACCGAAAUAAAUAAUUAGCUGCUUAAGCGGUCAGCUACUCGCUUUCGUUCGUUUAUCUUCCGAUAGCGGUGCAAAAUUGCGCACCAAAAUCAUAAAUUUGCGCUUGGUUCUGUUUACAAUCAAUAGUACUAAAUCUUCGGCUGUUUGUUUGCUUCCGGUUUGUUGGUUGGUUAAGGUUUCGCAGGCAAAAAGUGCCAGUGAUCUGGCCCCAGGAAUAAUAAAGCGAAACAGUUGCGUUGUUGUGAAGUUGUGUUAAAUAUUGCUACCAUAAUAAACCCCGUUAAUGACUUCAGGGUAAUGCUAGUGUUUAUGUAGAAGCUAAAGUGUCCCGUGUAUCAAAGAGUUGGUUCCAUUCGUUGGUGUUGCUGAAACGGGCACUUGAAAACAAAUUCGCCACGCGAGUGGUGCAUUGAAGUGCAAGUGAGUGUCCGAGUUGUGAAGCCGUUGGAGAGCAAAAACUUCCGCAGGUGAACCGGUGACGGAACUUCAUCAAGAUAUUCCGACUCAAGUGAUCACCACAUCAGCAAAUCGCAACACAAGAAUAUUCUUCCGCGACCCAAAAUCGAUCACCGCGGAGGAUACAGCCGAAACUGGCCGUGAUCGAUAACUGCAGCAAACUGUGGGGUUUUAUGUUGGUGUAAUCGUGACUAUCUCGCACGAGAUAGAGCGAGCGAAGAAGUACAAACGCAAAAGAUGUGUUCCCGCAAUUUAGCAAUUUCGUUGGCAUUGAUUAUCGCACUGGUACCACUGUCAACUGUCGCCUUACCUCACCACAGCAUCGUGAAGCGCAGCUCUUUUUUUGACAUAGAAUGUAAAGGACAGUUCAACAAACAGAUCUUCUACCGGUUGGACCGGAUAUGUGAAGACUGUUACUCACUGUUCCGGGAACCACAGAUUCUGUCCUUCUGCAAGAAGCAGUGUUUCACGACAGAUUACUUCAAGGGAUGUAUAGACGCGUUACAGCUAACGGAUGAGAUCGAGAAUUUUAAACCACUGAUAAAGGUACUAAACGGUGCUGAUCCGAACACGUUAUAAAACCCACCGGUACAUCCCGGGUGACGCUGCGUCUCUUUCGUGCCACUUUCCUGUCCUGACCGAACCCUACCCUAUCGACAAUUGAGAGCAUUUGUGACGAUCUGCAGCAGGAUCUGCACCAGGAUACGACACAAGCACACGAGAACAACGAUCAACGCGACGAAAGCAGUGUCUCUUUCUGGCUGCGGGACAAAAUCAAACGGUCACCUGAAGCAUGUCAGCGUGUUGCCGAAGGAGCUGCAAAACUGUUGUUUUUUGAUGCUGAAGCAUCGCUCGAUUUAACUUCGAAUACGAAAGACUACCCAGUGAAACGAUCGAUCGGCACCAGUACCAAAUAUGUACCAUCAGCAAACCCGUUUUUUAUGUUUCAUGCAUUUAGUUCUCUUGACUUAAUGGGAGGGCUGCUUCGGAACGGACUACUUCUUGGCAUGCGUAGAAGCACUGUUUCUCGAGGAGGAGAAGGAAAAGUUCAUGAAAUGGCGCGAAAUGUUGGGCAAGAAGAAGUAAGCGAACGUUUGUCAUCGAAUGGAUUGACGCCGAUAAUGCAGUUCAAAGUGUGACACUUUUUGCUUCUUGUUUUGGACAAAACUAUCUCUCUUACCCAUCACCUGCCCUGUCUGAACCCAUGCUCUCUACAUUCUGCGCAAAACGGUUUUGUUUUUUUGGUUUGUUGCCUACAAACGGACACGAAGAAACGGAAAACCAUUGCGCAGCGUGCAAAAGGAAAGCUACUGGAUGGUUUAUUGCUGUGCUGGAACGUUAUUUAUGCUUAAGUACUUUUGCGCCUGUAAAAUAUUGAAACCGAUCGAUGUAAACACUUGACCCCAAUAUUUGCCAUUAAGUUACACACGUUAUCCCGGUGUCAAUGCUUUUUUCUUCUUGCAAGGAAUCGUUUCGAAACCGGAAUAGGAAAGCUUUCAAUUUAUUGUUGGGAUUUACCUUUGUACAUAAUUAUUUCAAGUAUAAAAAAAAAAACAAAAAAAACUGUGCUAUAGUUAAAAUUCAACGCAAAAAAGCUAGAACUGGCGGGUUAAUGGCGUACGUGUGAAUUAUGGCCAUUAGUGUAUAGGAUAGCGCACGGUAGCAGGAAGUCGAGUAAGACGAGCUUGAAGGAAAGGGGCAAGAAAACGGCAAAACUGGGUGUGGUCUUGUGGCAAGUCGCCUUCCUGCUCGGGUUUAGAAAGGUUACAACAAAAGGAAAACGUACGGAUCGACAGAUGAAAACGGUAUUUAUUUUAAUCCUUAAUAAGUGACAGAAUAUAAGAAAGUAUAAUAUAAUUUUAUUUUCAAUGCAAACAAACUGCAAAAAACGAAAGAUGAAACCUCCUUAAUUUUAUGUAAGUGGCUAACGUGAGCAGAUUAACUUAUUUAGUUAUCAGUUGCAUUGCUAAGACAUUUGACAUGGGGCCGGUAUAGUGAAGCGAUAUAAAAAUGGGGAACAAACAGAAACGUUUGUAAACAUUGCUGUGAGUGAAGAACUAGUGAAAGCGUAAGUAGCAAAACAAAAGUAUAAGCAAAACGAACAAACAGCUAAAGGAACAGCCUAUACAUUAGGAAACUGAUCGCACAAAAAAGGGAUCAACUAGUUGCGUUGGAAUUUGGAGUUAAAAUAAUCUGAUUGAAUGAAGUACGUACAAGCCGAUAAUGGUGUGUGUGGUGCUAUGUUGUGUUAUGCGGGGAAGGUAAUGGUUGUCGCUUUCUGAUAGCCAUUGGCCAUUGCCAUUCCCCCGGUAACAAGUGCGACUGUUUAACAACACACAUUUAUCAUUUGGAAACAUGCACAAGUUGUCCGGCAAGUCCCGGUAAUGGGGACAUUGUUAUUGUUUGGCACUUUAGACGGUUUGCUUUCGUGCUUACCUGUACAUUUGUUACACGCUCCGAUCGGUCCUCUUUUGCCAGCAUUAGCAACGCUUCGGUUAGUCGGAGACUUUACAAGCGACCCACUGCGCUUGGAACGAUCCACAUCAGCUUAUGUGUAAAACUGUGUAUUUAUGUUUCGCAGAGCAAACAGAAAUGAAGAACGGGAAACGUAUGUUCUAUUUUGAAAUCUAGUCCAGAAAGCACACACACUAACGUUUAGUUUUAUUAUAAUGAUAAUUUUAUCAUAAAAGGGUGACAAUGUGUGGACAAUGGCAAUGAUUGCUGAAUUACACAUCCUCCACACGUAGAGUAGCACAAAACCGAGGGUGGAUAAAGAAGGCAACGUUAAAAGGAUAAAAACAAAAACUCUACCACACUUUCUACAGAUACGAUACGGCAUUGUUUCAUCUUCGUAUACCAUGUGCCAAGUAAGCUGAUCAAAGAUUAUGUUUAUACAAGUGUCAUGAAGCAACAGGAUAUACCGAUAAAGUGUAUGCAAUUUGAGCAUAACUUUCUGAACACGGAUUUGUUUGGUUUACCAAUUUUGUCUUUUUUUUUCGUGGAUCGCUUUAAAACAAAAAAACGUUAGCCAAAUAAUUGUUUUAAAAAUACACAAACAUACAAACUCCAACUACCGAAUGAAACUACCGGGGGCUGCUUUUCGAGAGGUCCGAUAUCGUAAUCGUAAUAAGGUUAAUCACAUUGUAAUAGAUAUUGUUUUCUGCUAGAAAUGUUUUAAACAACAGCGAAGGAAAUCAAUUUUGACAUUCCUUUUUAGACAGUAUUUUUCCCCUUUGCUACGAAAGGAAUAAUUUUCGUUAUGCUAUUUUUAUCGUUAUCUCUAUACCUAUACGCUUAAUUUUAGUUUCGCUUCCUUUGACACAAAACGAAUCCCCGUCGAAUCCAUGCCAAAACCAGAAUUUGUUCACAAACUCUUAUGUUUUGUUUUUUUUUUUGAUUUUGCAAGUUUUCACAAAUCGAUUAUUUUUGUGACAAUGAGGCAAAGAUAAAAGAAGGGUACAUCUCCACAUUCGGUAAUUUUACAGAGAUCGUUUGAUGAAAACAAAAUCCGGCAAAAGUCUGUACCUUUCGCACAGAAAAAAAACAAAAAACCAGUGGAACUCUAAUGAUGUAGAUAACGAAUGUCAACACUACUCAGAAUAUAGUGCGCACAGAGUAGCACCGCCGAAGCAGGCAUCCUAUGUGUAUUGUUAGCGUAUCUAAAAGAUACAUCCAAAAACCAAUGCAGUGGACUUUCAAAACGAUCCUGAACCAGUUGAACUAGAAUAGUGCCACCACCACUAACAGAGCCACUUCGUCGUACGUGCGCAAAACAUUGGCCGGUUUCGAAGCAAAACCGCUUUCUAAAACUGUUAGCCUAACAGCAAGGCAAGCACCAGAAAAAUUUACAAAAAAAAAGAAAUAAAUGUUAAAUUACUACGCUCCACACCACAGGUGCUGCGAGUAAACCAUCAGCUGGGUGGAAUGGAAUUUAAGAAAAAAAAAACAAACAUUUGGUGUACAUUUACUAUAAACGAAACCAAUAGGGAAUAAAUGGAGGAAAACUGUUUUAAACACACAUACAAACAAAAGCACACGACUUCUCGGGUGGUGUUUGCAGUAAAAAGCAAAACUAUGAUACUAAUAUGAUGGCAAAAAUAUUAUGUUAAAAUAAACAAAAAGUGCAGUGGAAGAAAUAAUAAAAUAGAACAUGAACAUGUGUA